rnacentral:rRNA from 1 species
UACGAAGGGGGCUAGCGUUGCUCGGAAUCACUGGGCGUAAAGGGCGCGUAGGCGGUUCGUACAGUCAGACGUGAAAUUCCCGGGCUCAACCUGGGGGCUGCGUUUGAUACGUACGGGCUUGAGUUCGGAAGAGGGUCGUGGAAUUCCCAGUGUAGAGGUGAAAUUCGUAGAUAUUGGGAAGAACACCGGUGGCGAAGGCGGCGACCUGGUCCGAUACUGACGCUGAGGCGCGAAAGCGUGGGGAGCAAACAGG